rnacentral:misc_RNA from 1 species
AAGUCGUAACAAGGUUUCCGUAGGUGAACCUGCGGAAGGAUCAUUAUCGAGUUUUUGAACAGGUUGUCGCUGGCCUUUCACGAGGCAUUGUGCACGCCUGGCUCAUCCACUCUUCAACCCCUGUGCACUUACAGUAAGAAAUGGUUGAUGCUGACUUUAACCGGUCGGUUUGAAGCCUUUCUUAUGUUUUACUACAAACGCUUCAGUUAUAGAAUGUUUACUGUGUAUAACACAAUAUAUACAACUUUCAGCAACGGAUCUCUUGGCUCUC